UGGGGGAUAUUGCACAAUGGGCGAAAGCCUGAUGCAGCGACGCCGCGUGGGGGAUGAAGGCCUUCGGGUUGGAAACUUCUUUUGCUCUGAACAAGGCAUGCUAAUGGGUGUGUUGAGUGUAGGGGUUGAUUAGCGCCGGCUAACUACGUGCCAGCAGCCGCGGUAAUACGUAGGGCGCGAGCGUUGUCCGGAAUUAUUGGUCGUAAAGGGCUUGUAGGUGGCUGGUUGCGUAUGUCGUGAAAGCUCAUGGCUUAACUGUGGGUUUGCGGUGGGUACGGGCGGGCUGGAGUGCAGUAGGGGAAGCUGGAAUUCCUGGUGUAGCGGUGGAAUGCGCAAAAAUCAGGAGGAAUACCGGUGGAGAAGGCGGGUCUCUGGGCUGUUACUGACACUGAGGAGCGAAAGCAGGGGGAGCGAACAGG
rnacentral:rRNA from 1 species